UGGGGAAUAUUGCACAAUGGGCGAAAGCCUGAUGCAGCGACGCCGCGUGAGGGACGAAGGUCUUCGGAUUGUAAACCUCUUUCAGCAGGGACGAAGCGAAAGUGACUGUACCUGCAGAAGAAGCACCGGCUAACUACGUGCCAGCAGCCGCGGUAAUACGUAGGGUGCAAGCGUUGUCCGGAUUUAUUGGGCGUAAAGAGCUCGUAGGCGGUUCGUCACGUCGGAUGUGAAAACCUGGGGCUUAACCCCGGGCCUGCAUACGAUACGGGCGAACUAGAGUUCGGUAGGGGAGACUGGAAUUCCUGGUGUAGCGGUGAAAUGCGCAGAUAUCAGGAGGAACACCGGUGGCGAAGGCGGGUCUCUGGGCCGAUACUGACGCUGAGGAGCGAAAGCGUGGGGAGCAAACA
rnacentral:rRNA from 1 species